ACCAGACGUACAGUGUGAGCAGGUUGCAUGCGAGAACUGGGUCGUACAGUGUGAGCACAUGACUCGUGAGAUCUGCCCUGCGAGGAAGUCGUUCAGUUUGAGCUGAAGCGGAGUGCUACGAGUGAAAAAGUCACACAGUGUCCGCCCGGCUUUAAUGGAGCCAAAUGGACGGAUGCCUCCACCACCAUUCCGUGCUUCUUUCGUUCUUAGAGCAUUCAGGGAUGGUGCUCCCCCAGAGGUCUGCCCGGGUUUUACACCUAAGAGUAAAGAAGUUUGCACUAAAAGAUGCUGAUUGAACUUUUCAUUUGUUUUUUGGAAGAGAGCCUGUCACGAGCGUGCCGGUGAGCGAAGCGGUGAUCAGAUGAGGAUCCAAGCGCUGGACAGGAAGACAGGCAGACAGGUAAGACGUUUAAAGGUUUUAAUGAUUAACACGCUGGACAUGGGAACAUUGAGGCAACAAACUACAGAGAACUGAAGGGGGUUUAAAUACAGGAGGGCCGGGAGCUUGGGUGAUUGAGAAACAAGAGGCAGGUGGGAGCAAUUAAUGAAGACACAGGGCUGAACCAAACGGGGAGACAGGACAGGGUGUGACAGUACCAGCUCUAAAUGAGCAGCAGGGCAGUAGAAUAGCUGAUCCACUGGUCGCCAUCAUCACCAGUAACCAUCUGGAUCCUGCACCUCUGCUUUAACAACACCUGAAGUGGAAACAGCAAACAUCCAGGAAGUGGCUGAGCACAAACGGCCCGCGACAGGUUCUGCGUGAUUCCUAAGCUACUGAUGCUGUGUUCAUCAGUGACAGCUGUGGUAGAGCUCUGUAGACAACGAUGAUGGUUUAUGUUUGUUUCUAACUCUACGUAUACCUGGGGAGAACAUGCUAACCCCACAGAAAAGCUGGAGCCAGGAUUUGAACCUGCAACCUUCCUGCAGCGAGGCCACCAUGCAGCUUGUCUUCGUUCAUUACCGUAACAGAUUUUUACCUCAUGAGCACCUGGUGGGUGUGGGUUAGUUUACUGUAGUAAGUCUGGGGUUUAUUGUGGGAAUAAUCCAGUAAUUAAAAAAAAAACAGUUGUGUUUCUGACAGCAUCUUCACAGAGACUCAUCAGGUCAAAAGCAUCUGUGCUGCCCAGAGUCACAGUGAUGUCUCGGCAGGAUUUACUCACAGAAGCAGAAACGGCCAGCGAACAUCCCUGAAAACCAGUCGCUCCUCUGACAACUGAACUCUUUGAGGUUUGUUAGGACUCGGGGUCUAAUGAGGAAUCGUUGCCAAAACACAGGGAUUUAUUGCUAAAAGCAGACGGAUGCUGACAUCUGAUUGCCAACUGUUCCUAAUAACAGGAGACGGGCCAGACGGAUGCACAGAUCCAGGAAAUUCUUCAUGUUUUUCCCAACUAAUGCAGACAUGAGACAGAGGGCAAUUACAGCAAGGGCACGACAAUAAAAGAGUAGUCUGGCAUCCAACAGCUUGCUAGCACUGUGACAUCUGCCACUCGGCACUUUCACUUCGCCUGUCUGAAAAGUCGAUGUCAAAGUCGUCGUGCUUUCAAGAAUUAACAACCCAUCGUUACCGUCGGGAAUGGGACCCCCAACCUCGGGGAACAGAUUCUGAUACCAGAGCUCCGGAUCUCAGAAUGGAAACGUGUCGUGAUGCAGAAACACGAGUCUGUCACCUCUAAAGGUUCUCGCGGAGGCUCCAGCUGAUGCAGCGUCCUGGUGAGAGGGGAGAUCAGCUCGUCCCACUUCACCAUCACUUCACUGGUCCGUACUUAAUCUGAAGACAUUCCCAUCAGCAAGAGCCAAAGAGCUAAACCUCUAUGUUCCCAACCCUGGCUCUCAGACUGAAGGCUUGGUUCCCAGGAGGAUGUGUCUAUAGCAGCAAAACUAAAGGGAUGAGCCAGUACAACCCUCACAAAGAGAUUCAUGGAACAGGAACAUCUGGAGCUGGGUCUUUUGAGAGUUUGUCUCAUGAAUGGAUGAAUGACAGUUUGUCUCAUCUAACAACUAGCAUCUCAAAUUCUGCUCAGAUUGUUUAAAAUAGAGUUUGAGCUGUUUUGCUCUUGCUGAUGUUGAUUAUCUGUGGUGACCAUCUUGACUUGGGCUUGCACCAACGUUGAAGUCAGAGCUCCACUGUAGUCAUCUCUGAAAACCCACUUGAACAUUCCCAGUUUGUUUUCUAUAUUUAUGAUGGUUCUUGUGGUUCUCCGUUUGCAUUUUAAACAACGAUGCAACAAAUAUUUGACCGGUGACUUCCAGAUCCCGUUAAUCCAGUCCAUUGCUGUUUUCAGUCCUAAUUCCACCUCGUGUUGCAAAUCAUGUUUUAGAAUGUGUCGCAGUUGUUGGCCUUUAUUUAGUGUUGCAUGAAUAAAAAUGGCAGCUGAGCGUGAAAUUUUUACAUAAAAAGGAGGAGGAAGGAAGGGCCGCAGCAUUAAUGCUGCUGAUGAAAUCUGGGAAGCAAACGUCUCAAACAGGUAGAAAACACGCAGCUACAGUGGAACGGCGGUGCGAUUACACCACAGGCAUCGGAUGUGUUCGGUGUAAUCAGGCUAAGGCAGCGUGCUGCUGGUAGGAACAGAUCUGUGCCAUGGAGCUGAUCUGUAAUCAGGUCCUGCAGGUUUAUGAACAUGGUUGUCCCGCCGCCGUUCCCGGCUCCGGGAUUACAAAUGGAGCUCAGUCAGCAGCCCAGGGCCCCGCCCCCAACCCCUCAGAUGGCUUCCGUCUACAAUCUAACUCAAGUUCAUAAACCUGAUCUAUUAUUUUGUAUCUCAGCACGCAACUGAUGCACAGCUGAGAAACCACCAACUAAUCAACCUUUAAACCCUCACCUGUGCUGCAGAGCGGUGGGUUGGAGAUCAUAAAUACAAGCAACUCUCCUGGGAUUAGUGUUGGUGCACUUUGGCACCAACAGGAGUCAUGUCAACAACACGACCUUACGAGUGCAGCGCCACACGGACGCCAAGGCUGCACCAUUACAAAUCUAUGUUUAUAGGCUGGUGUUGGGGGUUGUGUUAAUGCCGUCCAUUAUGGAACAACCCAGAGACAUGGUGACCCUCUGACCUUUGCCUGUUGAUCAGGACAGCAAAGGUAAAACAUUAACAGAAGGAUAUUAAUGCAAGGGUUACAUUUUACAAAAAUAUUUAGAGAUAAAGUCCAAGUUCAACACAUCUGCUGUGGUCUCCAGUGGGAAUGAAAACAAAUGAGCUUAAAACUUUGUUCAUGCCUUUUAACAACAUUCUGACAUUAUCUAGCUAUAAAUAAAGUAUCCAUCCAUUUUCAUCCGCUUAUCUGGAGUCGGCUCGUAGGGGCAGCAGCCUAAGUCGAGAUGCCCAGACUUCCCUCUCUCCAGCCACUUGGGCCAGCUCCUCCAGGGGAAUCUCAAGGCGUUCCCUGGCCAGGCAAAAGACGUAGUCCCUCCACCGUGUCCUGGGUCUUCCU